rnacentral:rRNA from 4 species
UAUACCCCAGGUCAGG